GUUUCUAUGGUGUAGUGGUUAGCACGUGUGUUUCACAUGCACAAGGUCCUCGGUUCGAUCCCGAGCGGAAACU